AAAAAAAAGAUAGUGUGUCAUAUUAAUCUCGAAAAGUAUUCUUUUAUGAGAUCGGCGAUUUUGUGGUUUCACGUCUGCAGUCUGCCGUGUGAAUGCCCGUCAUUCACUGCGGAUACCGUGAAGGGAGGCCGGACAGUGAGGAAGACGCCAAGAGCCACACCUUUUACUUUCAACGAUUGGCACUUCGGAGGGAAGCCCAUGCAAAACGUCUCCAUCUAUCAUGCUGGCUCUGUUUCCACAGCAAUGUUAUGGACACAGUAAAUUAAAGGCGGCACACAUCAGGUAUCUGACGGGUCCAAGGCAUCAACAGCAAACUUAUAAUCGCAGUGGGUGAG
rnacentral:lncRNA from 1 species